AAGGGAGAGCAGGAGGGACCUAGUUGAGAUACUGUCUCUGGUUUCUGCCCAGAUGACACUCACCUGUGACAGGAACUUCUCGAUAGAGUUUCCCCUUUUAUGGAAUGCCCUCCCGGGUGAGGUUCCUCCGUCUCCCUCAUUAUUAACAUUCAGGUGGAAGUUAGAAACAAUCUUGUUCAUUCAGAGAUUUGACAGCUGAAGUAUGCUGCUGCUGGCAACCUUGAAAUUAAUUAGCUGUGAGGAUUUUUGAACGUUUAAAAAAGUUGUAUCGCUUUGCUCUUUGAUUGCUUGCUGCCCUGACAAGGAGGACAGGAUAAAAAUGUAUUAAUCAAAAUAAUAAACAAACUAACAAACAAUUGCACAAAAAUGGGACUGAGAGGUUUUAGCCCUCUUCAGGCGUUAUACUGCUGUGUUAAGCAAACGUGAGCAGCAGUCCUCUGCCUCCCUCUCCCAUCGCCUUCCUGAUCUCCUUCCAAGAGCUGGGCGGUGAUAUUCUGACCAGAGGGCUUCUUGUUCUCAAGGAGGAUUGCUGUACAUCCUAGAAAAAAAAUGGAAGGGCGAUGUGGGGGGAGGCAGAGCCAGAGUACUUGUCCACAUGGGCCUCCUCAUAUGCUUGCUUACCUAAUUUAUUUUAUUUAUUUCAGAAAACAUUUCUAUGCCGCAUUUCACAAAAUUUAUCAAAGUGGUAUAUAACAAUUUAAAACAAGAACAUUUCAUUUUCAUAUACACACCAUACAUGAGAUCGAUAGUAGAUAACAGAACAAAACUAAAUAGCAAUAUAAUGUUUGAAGAGGGCUUAAUCCGCAGUCAUUCAUCAUUAUUAUUUUAAAGGGUUGGUUUGUGUCCAUACAAGAAACACAAUGAUAGCAACAUAAGGUCAAACUGAAAUAAAACCGGAAUGGAACCAUCCAUGGAAAAAGGCCUGAUGCAUAGGGCAGGGGAGGGAAAGAGAGGAGUGGGUCAGCUCCUUUUGCUCUUUUUCAAUUUGCAGCGGGGAUAUAAAACACCUUUGCACUUAGCUAGGGACAGAGCUCAGCAUCAGCUUGCCAUAAAACUCGGUAAUUUUUGUAAUCAAUAAUACAUAACGCAGCUAGUCCAUGUAUGGUGAGUAAGGAUAUUCCUUCUGCCCACUGCUGGACUUUGUUCACUUCCCCAGUGUUUUAAAAUGAUACGUACAGGGACAAGAAGGGCAUGACUAAUCCCAUUUCUGCUCUCCUGGAAUAAGUGCCCACACAAUAGGGAAACACCCCAUCGAUGCUACUUGGUCUGUGAACUUUAGUUCUGUCUCCAGGACCAAGUUGAUGUGAACUGUGGCCUCUGCCCGGAACUGAAAAACAACAGAACAGCAGGCUAUCGUGUAGAAGCCUUCUGUGUUAUUGGAUUGUCAGCAGUUGGAGGAGGAAAGCAUAUUUUCCUUAAAUACCCAUGAGGAGACAAGUAUGUCCUUACAAUCAUUUUGCUAUAUGAGGUGCCAUCUCAAAUCUAGUUAAGGUUAUAGCAGAAAGAGAGCGCAGCGUUCCACUUAUUUAGAUAGACUUGUUUCUUUAGUUCCCAGUUCCCAUUCUGCACAUGGGUGUUAAUUUAGCUGCAUUCAUAAGCCAACAGUAAAAAGCUGUUGCAGGUCCCCUAAUAUGGGGCCCCGGGGGGGGGCAGUUCAGAAGCACUGAGGGCAAAAUGACCAAAUACAUGUUUCAGUCAUAAAUACUGCUACUCAGGGGUGUCAGGUAAUGCAUAUGUUUAUUGAACAUGUCUUGUGGGAACUGGAUGUCAGCCCAUGUCUUCCACAAAACUCAUAGCCAUUAAUAAGUGUUAAACCAUAGUCUACUACAGUAUAUAUAUUUAGGGGUGGGGCAUUCUAAUUUAUUAAUAUAUAUUCAGAGGAGGAAUUUUAUUGCAAAGGCCAAUUCUGCACUGCCACUACUGUUUUACUUUGCAUUUUUAUCUUGUGAACCACCCUGAGUUCUUGUGUUGAAAGGCGGUAUAUCAGUCAGUCAAUCAAUCAAUCAAUCAAUCAAUCAAUCGUUCAAGUAAAUAAAUAACAAGAGAAUAUGCUAUGCAUGCAAAAUAUUGCAGGGCCAUCUUCAAAAGAAUUGCAUAGACAAUUUGGCUAACAGAAACUUGCCAUGAGGGGAAAUUUCCUCUGGGUUGCUCCAUUGCUAAUAAAAUUCAAUACAGUUCAGUAAUUGUUCUGACUAGGUAUUCAAUCCGCAAAGCAACGAGUGCAGUGGUUCUGCUUGGACGAUAUAUACUGCUUUAUAUAGAAAUUGAAAAGAAGGUUUCCCUAUUAUAAGCCUCAUUUAUGUAGAACAUUAAAAGAUCUUCUCAUAUGGGCUAUAGUUGUUAUUUAGAUAUGGGUUAUAUCAGGGUAGCCACUUUUACUGGACCAUGAUUUGGUGAUUAUUGUACUUGACAUUUAUCUUGGGAGAGAUGAGACUUCUUUGAGUGUAUUCUGCUGUGGCAAUCAUGCCCACUGUAUAUAGCAAGCAUCUUCACUAUCUACUGAUACCCCUUUGGAGGUUAAUCUAUUGUAAAAUUAGAUUGUAAAAAUGGACGUAGAUUUCACAUUUACAUAUUGGUGCUUAAAGGGUUUGUGAAAUGAUUCAAAUGCUGUAAAAUAUUCCUAAUGCAGCUGAGGUUGAAGCAUAAUUCAUGUGUGAUAUGUAAGCCAUGCAAAUGAACAUGGAUUCUUUCUUAUGGACCCUUUCUGCUUUCAAUUCAUCUUUCAGAGGUUCUUACCCUCCCAAUUUGAUUGCCUUAAGAACACAGAUUGUCUUUUCUCGAUGGCGAAACUACUUUAAUCCCCCUUUCCAGAGGUCAACUAAUCUCCAGUCUUAAGUGCCAUAGAUGCAAAUACACUUCUCCUGCAAUGUUCCUCCUAAUUUAAUUCCCUUCUAAGCUUUCGCGUAUAAACCAAGUAAUGGAACCAGUUUGGAAGGGGUCAAAAGGUUUCUGUUCCAGUAAAAUUUAAAUUGACAUCAUACACUGAUAAUGGUAUGCGCUGCUCUACUAUAAACAUUUGCUGCCACUUUUUCAGCGAAUCAUUUUGUACCCUAGCAGCUAGACACUGAACAAAGGUGCUGCUUUGUUAUAACUCAAGUUACAGCUUUUGCUUUCCUGUAAAAGUACCCUCCUGCAACUCAGAACACAUGGAAGACAAAAAUCAAUUGACUUUGUUCAUAUUUCUACCAUUAUCCUCAAAUGAACCCAGAAACAUGCAUUCCAGCUGUGCUUGGUUAAAAGCUAUAUUAUUUAAUUUCUUUGGAUAUUAUACUUUUGCCUGCUUUAGUUGGUACAAAGCUACCUGAUUUCUUGAGUAUGAGACAUUUGUAACUAUGCUAACGUGCACUCGAUGCACUGAAGCCAUUUCCAAAAUCCCUUGGUGGGGCGCCUCAUCUGAUUGCUCAUGGCUUUCCUAUUUGGCUUGGUUGUAUGUACUUGUAUAUUUGCAUGCUUUAUUUGAGUUUGUGGAUAGAUGCCCAAGUUAGGCACACUUGACUGAUCUCAUGAGCAGCGCAUUCACAGUAUUGAUUCUAGCUAGAGAAAUGCCAGUCCUAUUGAGGAACACUGCCUGCUACUAUCACCACCACCACCACCAUCACACAUUUAAGUAGCGCUUAUUUAGUAGCAAUCAUAUUGCUUAUUAAUAACAUGUGAACAUACAGAGUAUUUGCACGUGCAUUGUGUCAGCAAAAUAUGCUGUCAUGUGUAAAAGGAAGCUUUGUUAUUAAACUCGAGAGAAAGCUGGCGUUAUCAGCUGGGGACGUUUUAAGCAGACUGGCCUGAUAAAUGUACUGUUCUUGUGGAUUAUUUCUUCCCUUUGUGCAGGAACUCUGGCUCUGUGUCAGAGCCUAGGCCUGACAGAAUCCAGAGCAUGCAACUAUACUAAUUUAUUAUUAAAGGCCAUGGGGAGCCAGUGGCUCACUAGACAAGAAGUAGCAGCACAGAGGACCAGGCCUGGAUUGUGUUGUGUGGCACUUUUCCUUCUUUGAAGCACAUGGCUGAUUCCUGCUACUUUAUAACAUUCGGAAAGUCUUCUUGCGACUAUCUUAAAGGGGGAGGAAUUUGCCAUUGUUACUGAUUAACACAUAAUCAUUUAAGGUUAACAAUAUAUAUAUUUGAAUGUGCUACCCAGUGCUUUUUUCCGGAGGGGGGGGGAUGCAGGGAUACGCAUACCCCUAAACAUUUUGUGAAUCUAAGUUUGGCCUCAUUGAAGGGCAGUAUUUCAAUAUGAGUAGGAAAACAUUUUAUUUAUUUAUUUUAUGUUGGUGCUACCAGACCACAUGUAAUUUAUCUGAAAUGCAUUUUUAAAAACCUCACCCAAUUUUCAGGUUAUAAUAAAGCACAAGACAUUGUUAGCCUCACCUUAGCAUCCUUUUUUAUAAUAGCCACUUUGGUAUUCAUAAGAAUUAUGAUUUGCAUGACCAUUCUGGGAAAUAAAACAUUGUCUUCUUGGUAUCUUUUAAAGGACCUCCAGUCACAAAUCAUGCACUUUGCUGUCCCUUUUGUUGUUAACCUCCCUAAAUAAUUUUGGGGUGAUCAGCAGGUCUGGACACCUCACUGCUUACCCCAAAUAAUUUGUAACCAAGUUGAAAAGCAAUGGAUUUGACAUUACCCUCAUUUCCUUUUAUUGAGAUUUUCUCAGUUACCAUAUGAGCCACAAACAUUUUUAAAAGGGGGAGGUUCCAUAGUCAAGUAUAAGUUUAUGUUGGCAAGGAAAUUCAGGAAAAAACUGAAACUUAUUCAAAACUGUUGUUAAGCAUGUUUCCACACACUACCUUACUUUCCCUUUUUCACCUGCAAUGCUAAUGGCUGGACAAAGCUGCCACUAGCGGUUAACCAGAGCUUUGACUAGCCUGCAACUGCAGGAUCAUUUUUCGUUAUUGCUGCUUUGGAAGGAAUGGCUGCAAAAUUUAGGAAACAUGGCUUUCAUUAGAUUUCCUACCCCUAGAAGCCUCUUCUGGAUCCUUGAAACAUGCCCCUGUCAGCCUGGAAUCUUCGUCACAGGUCUGAAAUCCAUUUCCCACAACGUUACGAAUUAAGAAGCUGCAAAGACCGAUCUGUGCGUUUGUGCUGUAGGAGGACCGCUGAUAUGCAGCAGAGCUGUCAUUUCAACAGGAAACCAUCCAUCAUUUGCCUGCUAGUCCUCAAUAAUCACCUUCUAUUACAGUCAGAUUGAAUCUUCAAUUGGUGGCAUUAUGCCAGGUUUCCUACAGUUCUCGAUUUCCUGUACUUUACAGAGGUAUUCAAAAUAAUUUACCGUUUAGUUCAAGAGACGUAUUCGUCCUGAAAAAUAUUAUUGUCAUUAACCUGUUGAUGCCAAAAGGUUUGGGAAGUGUAACCCUUGAUCUCUCCCUUUAAAGGUUUCUUUUUUCUGACUGUAAGUAUGCUGUAAUAUUUGUAUUUUUUUAUGCCGUCCACACUGAUGCAAUGUAAAAAUGGAAAUAUGGUGGGCAAUGACCCUUUCCCUAACAAUAUAAGCAAUGACCUGAUUAUAAAGAUUACAUCAAGCAGAAAGGUAAGGGUGCCAGUGCAGGGAAUAAUCAAGCAAAUAGUGAAAAUAGCAACCAGUAAGAAAUAGCAACCAGUAAGAACGUAAGGCUGUGCAUACCCUCCACUUCUAAGCUAGAGUAGAAGUCAAGAAAAACAACUAAAUUUAUCCUGUCAAUUUUAUUUCUUUGCUAUAAUAACACAUCCUGUCUACACAAGGGUACCAUUGCUACUGUUAAAAUGUAUUGAUGGUUUUCAGAGACCCAGAAUGGAACCGCAGAGAUACAGAGGUGGAAAAGUACUGGUUUCAGUUCCUUUCCUUGUCAUUCUUUGGAACACAUUGUGUGUGUUUAAAUUAAGUGUAAAGGAAACACAGCAUGAUCCAAAAUGAAAUUUUAUCACUGCCUUUCAUCUUGGUCAUAGUGUCAUUUUUGCAUACUGAUCACCAUUAGAAACAUAGGAACUUAAGAAGCUGGCUUAUUUUCAAGUCAGAAGAUUGGUCCAUCUAGGUCAGUGCUGUACACACUGACCAGCAGGGGACUUUCCCGGACCUACCUGGAGAUGCCGGGAAUCUCAAAGUCUAAACAUACCCUGAUCCAUGCACCCUUUUGCAUGUUUAGCUGCUUCCUCCAUCAAGGUGCAUGAUGAUGUCUUUGCAAGGAACUACCGGAACACAGUGUGGUAUUUGUCUUUCCAGUGAUUGCAUAUGCUCAGAGGCACUGUUUGCCAUUGCUUCACUUGUUCCAGAAGUGAAAAUAGGUACUAAAAAGCCCAGUGGGACUGAGUCUUGUUUGGGCCUUGGGUCAUUAGUUUGUAUCCAGUGGUUUCACUCAGGUGACAGUAAGGGUUUGUCAGCAGAAUGGAAAGGGAAGCAAUUUUGGGAUUCCACCAAAUCCCCCAGAGGGUUAGGGGACUCUCCAAAGCAGAUUUAGGGGGGCACUGGAGCUGCAGGGGGAUGAAAUUGAUGAAAAUCCCCUGUCCCCAUUCUGCUUACAGAACUCUUAAUCAUCUGAGCAACACCACUGGCUACUGCCUUCAGAUGGUGAAACAACUUGACUGAUUUCAGUUUCUCCGUCUCCUGACUUGUAAGGGACCUCAUUUGCUACUCCAACUCAGGCAGCUAAAUGUUCUGGGCUGGACCCAUUUGUGCAUCUUGAAUAUUGGUAGGAUCUUGAGAGUAUUAGUUUUUGCCUGGGGCUUUCACUGGCAUGUUUUUGGCAAUCUGAUGGACUGUGAUGAUGUCCUGGUGUGCUGUAGUGUAAAAAAUGGGUGUAAGAAAACACUGAAGACCAAAGGUGUCUAUGACUGCAUUAAUAUUUUUCAGAGCUGCUGUAACUACGCCAGAAGACUCUAUUGUAGCAGAAGUGCACCAUGACCACUAACUUUCUGGCAUUUGUCAUGUACACAAAAAUAACAUGAGAGUAUAUUAUUCCCAUGCAAAAUAUGCAGAGCAACUUUGUCUCUGGUUUCUGGUCCAUUCUGGUGUAUGUCUUUGAGCAAUGAAUACAUUAUCCUAUCUUAGUUUAACAUCCUGGUGGUGUGUGUGACCGGGUGGGAGGAAGCAUUCCCAAACGAUGACUUUCUUUUUUUUCAACAACUGUCAUAAAAGAGAAGGAUAGGGUUUUUCUUUUUCUUUUUGCCAUCCAGUUUCUUGAUUCUGCAGUAAAAAUGGGUGAGUGUGUUUGUGGGGGAGUGGCUGUACCAUUGUGCAUGCCUCGUAUCCAGCAGAAGAAAAUAGGAAAUAUUUCACCCUGGCUCAAAAAGGGUGGGGAUUUCUUUGUUUCUUUUUAUAUUUAUCCAGGAAAAGCUGACAAUCGUCCCACAUUAAUGAACAACACCAUCAAUCACAGCACUGACAAUGAGCGGAAAAGCGAGGUAUAUGUCAGACUGACGACAUAUUGCUUUUUUCAGCUAGGGCAUGGCUGUUUAUAGCCCUUUUUUUUUUGGUCUGGCAAAAGGCUUACUGCUUUGGGAUGGAACUACAAAGAAGACUGUGCAAUAAAUCUAGAAAUAUGCUUUGUUGCUUCAGAACUUUUAGCACUCAUUUGCUUUCAUUUUUUUUAAAGCGCUAAGCAAGUUAAAGCAUGGAAUGCACAAAAGUAUUUUCUUUCACCCCAGUCCUGAGGGAAUGUUGAUGCCAAUGCUAAGAGGGUUGGACCUCAUAGUCCUCCUUCUGUUAAGUCCUUGUGUGUAGUUUGCUUGUUAUUUGCAUUUGUACCUGUUUUCUGGC